UUGUUUAACGUUGCAUCUGUAAGUUUCUGAUUCUGCAAAGGUGUUGCCUGUGAUUUAAUGAGCAGAAAACUAUACUCCUGAUUUUAUACUCUGUUUGUUGAUCAUUCAAGUGUUUCUAUGAAUUCUUAAUAUGUGAUCUAGCAUAUCAACAGUUUUAUGCAGGGGUUAUAUUAGAUACGGUCUGGAUAUUUUAUUGACAAGGUCAAUGCAUUUAUCACAUAUUAUUUUUGAUUGCAGAUGCUAGCCAUGUUCUUUGGUGCAACACUAUUUUUUAAGCAAUUGAUAUUUACAACUGACGCUCCACUUUACUUUUUUUACUGAUAGCUGCAACAUCCUUGGGGAGGCCAUGAUUCCAUGUAUUUUGUUGGCAUUAGGAGGAAAUCUUGUGGAUGUUGGUACAGGAGAUGCAGCAAGAGCAAGAUAAAGCUUCUUCACCUUUUUCUCCUGAUGACAGUAAGGAAUUCACAAAAAAAUUACAGAUCAGACUAAGAUCAUAGGCUAUAGGGUGUUGAGAUGAACUGUAGAUGUUAAUUGGUGGUUGUAUGGUAAUUAAUUGAUAUUUUUGAGUUAUUUUAUUUUGUUUUUAGAGAAUAUUAGAAGGAACGUGUGUAAUUUGCAUUAUGAAUGAUAAAUUGUGUAGCUUAACUUGAAAAUAUGAAUGAUAAUGUCCAAUGCAAGUUGUAAAGUUGUUGAA